AUUUGCGUCAACAUCUGAAAAUUAAUGAAAUGGUUCAGUGCCCAUACAAAGACAGCGAUUUUGAAAUUUUGUUCUCUUUACGUAGAUUAUUGCUGAGUUCAACCGGAUCACAAGCAAAAACCUCAAGCAAGAAUUCUUCUCAGCCCUUGAUAAACAUACGUCUCGUUUUCUGGAAGUUUUCGAUUCAAAGAAAGGCAAAGCUGAAAAAAAGUCUGCAAACAUCACUGAUGUCACUGCUCCACGGACAGCAGUUCUCUGUGGUCUUGCUGUCCUUCUUGGGGAAGACACUACAGACUUCUUCAAAACAUGCUUUGUCUGUGAUAUAGUUGAACCUCAAGUAUAUAGUUGAACCUCAAGUAUCGAUGGGAAUUCUCACUGUGAUGCCAGAGGACAGCCCGAUGUCUCCACAAGGUUUG